AGGCAAAUGAAGACUCUGAGAUGAAGACAGCUGAGCGCAUGAUGGGGUAGGUCAGCCUCCCUCAUGGAAAUUCUGUGUGCCUGAGGCCCACCCUUCCAGUGCAGAUGGAGGGAUGGGAUGGAAAUGAAUCUAGGGGAACGCAUCCCAGCUGUGAUCCAGCCACCUCUGCGUUUGAAGGCUGGGGGUUAUUCCCUCCUCAUGGUUGCCACGCAUUCUUAUGUUUGCAUGUCAUGCUUGGAACUGCCGCAGCCACUUUGUGACAGCCUGAGAAUGAAUCCAGCGCUAAAAUCAGUCUAGCAAAAGGAGGAGAAACACCUGGGUCUCCAUGAUGUCACUGAGCAAGUGAAUUGACCAGCUGUGAGGUCACAACAGGACCAGAAGAGUUUUUCUGGGGGGAGGAUCCCUGAACUAUAGAAAAUGACGGAAUUUCACAGAAGUAAUGGAGCAGAAGCCAGAUUAUCAGAAGUAGGUGAGUGAACAGGUGUGGGAAAUUACAGACCCUGAGAUUGCUACAGGCUACCAUCGGGCAAUAAGAGAAGAGACAAAUGAGAUGUUCAGGGAAUUUGACAUUUUAUUUUUGUUUGCUUACUUGUUUUGUUUAUUUUGGUAUUCCUGUUUUAAGAUGGGAGAGACUUGAACCUUGCUUUUAAAAUGAUACAAUGGACCAAAAAAGAGAGAGAGAGAGAAGCUUAAGGGAAAGAAGAAAGGGUUACUAGUGGAUGCAGGUGGGAGAUAAUGAGAUUCUGAGCAUAGGGAUGUGUGUUAGUCCAUUUUCACACUGCUGUAAAGAACUACCUGAGACUGGGUAAUUUAUGAAGAAAAGAGGCUUAAUUGACUCACAGUUCUGCAGGCUUAACAGAAAACAUGACUGGGAGGCCUCAGGAAACUUACAACCAUGGGAGGCAAAGGGGAACAAGGACCUUCUUCACAUGGUGGAAGGAGAAAGAGACAGGGGAAGUGCCACACUUUUAAACCAUCAAAUGUCGUGAGAACUCACUCACUAUCAUGAGAACAGCAAGGGGAAAAUCUGCCCCUCCCAUCACCUCCCUCCAAGCCCCUCCGCCAAUUUGACAUGAGAUUUGACGUGAGAUUUGGGUAGGGACACAAAUCCAAACCAUAUCAUAUAUUGGAAGAUAGAUAAGACAGGAGGAGGAAAGGAUGCAGAAGUGCACCAGUCGGGGAUCAGUCGGGAGCUAGGCACUUUAUGUUGGAACCUGAAGUUCAUAGCAGAAGAAAUAAGAAAGGGAAGAUGGGUGUAAAGUAGAGGAAAUAAAAAACAAGCUGGAACCCAAAGCUGUGAGUGGAGCCACACUCCAGACGGAGGACAGAUGGAGACUUGCAUUAGGGUUUUUGUUUUUUGUUUGUUUGUUUUGGUCCCUGAUAUUAAUGAUAUGAGUGUCCUGCAAAAGCCAGGGGCCCUUAGGCAAACAUAGGCACCUGACCCAAGAGCCAAAGGCAAUGAAAGAGGAUUCAGGGGAAGGAACUGUUGCAAGUCCAGCUGCUGCCACUUGCCAGGACAAGUCAACAGAUCAACAACAUGUGUGAGCCGCAUGACGGCCCAUGCUCCAGCUCUUCCUUCAGGUCUCUCCUGAGGCCCAACUGGGAGCAGCCAGGGAAGGGGAUUCUAGGAAAUUCAGUUCCACUUAGCUUAAUUAUGAAGCCACCAGAGUGUGAAUGCCGGUCAGUUUUAGAAAAAAAAACUUGAGGUUUUUCUCACCUGCUUCUAAUUUCUCUUUAGGGGAUAAGGUAAUGUGCUGGGAGUGAGGAGGCUAUGGGUGGUGAUGGUGAUGUCACUAGUGGUUGAAAUAGCAAUAGUGAAUAAUGGAGCUAGCUCCAUUCACUCCUAUUCAACCUUGAACUGGAGUUUCUGGCCAGUGCAAUAAGACAAGUAAAAUAAAUGAAAUGCAUAAGUUCAGAAGGAAAGAAGUAAAACUGUAUCUAUUUUCAGAUGGCAUGAUUAGUUAAGAGAAAAAUCCAAAGGCAUCAAUAAAACAACUAGUGGAACUAACAAAUGAAUUUAGCAUGAUCAUAUGAUCAAUGUCAGUACACAAAAAAAUUAAUUAUAAUUUUACAUUCUAGCAGCAAUUAGAAACUGAAAUAAGAAUCUUCCACUUACAGUGACACCUAAAAUAUAAACUAUCCCAGGCUAAAUUUAAUGAAAACAAUGUGCAAGACCUCUACUGAAAACCAUAAGCUACUGCUGAUUAAAAUUAAAAAUCACCUAAAUAAAUGUAGAAAUGUAUCAUGUUCAUAGAUUGGAGGAGUUUACGUUAUUAAAAUGUCAGUGAUUCCUAAUUUGAUCUAUAGAUUCAAUUCACUUCCAAUCAUAAUUCCAGAAGCCUUUAUUAAACAAAUAAAUGGAUAAAAUCUGCUUUUAAUAUGUAAAUGGGGGCCAGGUGUGGUGGUUCACACCUGUAAUCUCAGCAAUUUGGUAGGCUGAGGCAGGUAGAUUGCUUGAGCCCAGGAGUUGGAGACCAGCUUGGGCAAUGUGUUGAAACUUAAUCUCUACAAAAAAUAUCUUAAAUGUUAGCCAGGCAUGGUGGUGUACACUCAGGAGGCUGAGGUGGGAGGAUCACCUGGGCCUGGGAAGUUGAAGCUGAAGUGAGCCAAGAUCACACCACUGCACUCCAGCCUGGGCAACAGACAGAGAGGCUGAAAAAAAAGAAAGAGA
rnacentral:lncRNA from 1 species